CGGACCUUUCGGGGUUAGUGGCGGACGGGUGAGUAACACGUGGGAACGUGCCUUUUGGUUCGGAAUAGCUCCUGGAAACGGGUGGUAAUGCCGAAUGUGCCCUUCGGGGGAAAGAUUUAUCGCCAUUAGAGCGGCCCGCGUCUGAUUAGCUAGUUGGUGAGGUAAAGGCUCACCAAGGCUACGAUCAGUAGCUGGUCUGAGAGGAUGACCAGCCACAUUGGGACUGAGACACGGCCCAAACUCCUACGGGAGGCAGCAGUGGGGAAUCUUGCGCAAUGGGCGAAAGCCUGACGCAGCCAUGCCGCGUGAAUGAUGAAGGUCUUAGGAUUGUAAAAUUCUUUCACCGGGGACGAUAAUGACGGUACCCGGAGAAGAAGCCCCGGCUAACUUCGUGCCAGCAGCCGCGGUAAUACGAAGGGGGCUAGCGUUGCUCGGAAUUACUGGGCGUAAAGGGAGCGUAGGCGGACAUUUAAGUCAGGGGUGAAAUCCCAGAGCUCAACUCUGGAACUGCCUUUGAUACUGGAUGUCUUGAGUGUGAGAGAGGUAUGUGGAACUCCGAGUGUAGAGGUGAAAUUCGUAGAUAUUCGGAAGAACACCAGUGGCGAAGGCGACAUACUGGCUCAUUACUGACGC
rnacentral:rRNA from 1 species